GGCGCUUUGGCUUAGCUGUAUAGUGCUUGGCUUCUGAACAAGGGGUCCCGGAUUCAAAUUCUGGAUUUUUUA
rnacentral:tRNA from 1 species